rnacentral:lncRNA from 1 species
UGAACCUUAGGAUGUUUUGUGAUAUAUAUAUAUAUAUAUAUAUAUAUACAACGUCAGCAAACUAACAGAGUUUUUGACAGAACCUAACGGUAGGGACCAUUUGUGACCAUGCAUACUCACCUUGAGGACCACGAAUGACACAAAAAAACAUUAAGGAUGCAAUCCGAUAAUUUCGUAAACCUUAGGGACGUUUUGUGAUAAUAAGCCUAAAUAGAAAAAUGGACAAACAAACAAAUACACAUAUGAACUUGCAAGCACACAAAUCCAUCAGAGUGCAAUUCC